CCUACGGGAGGCAGCAGUAAGGAAUAUUGGUCAAUGGGCGCAAGCCUGAACCAGCCAUGCCGCGUGCAGGAAGACGGCCCUAUGGGUUGUAAACUGCUUUUGAACAAGAGAAAACCUCGGUACGUGUACCGAGCUGAUAGUAUUGUUAGAAUAAGCAUCGGCUAACUUCGUGCCAGCAGCCGCGGUAAGACGAAGGAUGCAAGCGUUAUCCGGAUUCAUUGGGUUUAAAGGGUGCGUAGGCGGCCUGAUAAGUCAGUGGUGAAAUCUCUCAGCUUAACUGAGAAACUGCCAUUGAUACUGUCGGGCUUGAGUACAGAUGAUGUGGGCGGAAUAUGACAUGUAGUGGUGAAAUACUUAGAUAUGUCAUAGAACACCGAUUGCGAAGGCAGCUCACAAAACUGUAACUGACGCUGAGGCACGAAAGUGCGGGGAUCAAACAGGAUUAGAUACCCUGGUAGUCCGCACCGUAAACGAUGAUUACUCGUUGUUGGCAAUAUGACCGUCAGCGACGACGACGAAGACGAGUAAGUAAGUACCGACCGUACGGGAGGUACGGCCGGCCGAACCGGUACGAAACGUACGAAACGUAAGUAAGUUAGUACGGGACGGUUGGAGGACGUUAGGCCGGACGGGACGACCGACCGACGGGGAGGGUAGGGAG
rnacentral:rRNA from 1 species